ensembl:lncRNA
AAUUUUAAUAACUAUUUGUUAUCUGACAUAACUGAAGAAGACUUACCCCCUGAGUCUCAAAUGGAACACUUUCCCCCUGUGUACUAUUUCUGGCCAGUACACUAUGGGCCCUUGUUCAAAGUAAUGCACUGAAUAGGGAAUAAGGUACCAUUUGGGCCAGACCAGGUAACUGCAAUCACAUGGCCUCGUCAGCUACAAUGAGCCUUCUUUGAAUCUGAUAAGGGCUGGGUCGGAAGACCUCCAACAACCCUACCGCUAUUUGAUGACCUACUCCCAGUCACAAUUCCCACCGACCCAGCGCCGACAGGCCCAGUGGCCCACAACAAUACAUCACACAGGGGCUUGGGCACGCCUCCACAACCACGACGAGGCGGCAUUUCAAUGUUAUUUUUGUUCAGUGUUCCCGCUCCCAGAUGCAGGUCCACAGAGAGGAGCAGGUUCAGAAAUUCGGGACAAGUUGAAUAACAGAAAUACCAUAGUUUUCAAACCUGGAGUAGACUUGGACCGAUGUGUUAGGUAGCUGAGUUGGUCGUUGCUCCAACCUUCUGAACGUGACUCACCACAAUGUUUUCAUUUUUUUUUUAAAUCAAAAACAACGUGAUAUCGAAGGAGUGCCUUUGAUUUGACGCGCACGAGUUUUGCUAGCUAAUGUCACUGUAACAUCGACUGCGAGCGUGAUCUGACAUUUCUGUAGUGGAAAGAGCGCAUCGUCCCAGGUGGUCGUCUGGCUCAGGGACCGACUCUGUAAGGGGCACUGUCAUGGAGCUGCCGCAGAGAGAUCGCUACGGGAUAGAUAAACCUCUCAUGACGCGCAAGGUCGAUGAUGACGACGUGAAAGGCUCAAUGCAAGUGUGACUGACUGUAAGGUCUAAAUCUAAAUAUGAGACUAUUGUCAGUGCUACUGUGUGACAAUUAAUGAUAGCACUUCUUCAACAUGAGCUUUAUACAAAGCAUCUACUGUUUGUGGAUACAAAAGUUGUUUGUAUAGUUUGCCCAGGAGAGGAAGAGGGAAGGUAGGUAGAUAAGCCCGUCUGGUGCCUGCCAUUCAAGCCCCGCUGAACGGAUACAUUCAGUACAGACUCAGUGUUGGUAUAGUCAAAAUUGUAUCAUCAUUUCCUAAAUAUCAUCUGCUUUUUUCUCUGUGUGGUGAUUUCACUGUACGCAAAAAAAGAGCCUAUAAUUAUACUGAACCUGAAUGGAUAUAUGAUCACGGUACAUUUCCAAAAUAAAUUAUUUUUCAAUGGGA